GUGCUCGCUUCAGCAGCACAUAUACUAAAAUUGGAAUGAUACAGAGAAGAUUAGCAUGGCUUCUGCACAAGGAUAACACACAAAUUCAUGAAGCAUUCCAUAUUUUU